rnacentral:rRNA from 1 species
UCUACGGGGCGCAGCAGUAGGGAAUCUUCCACAAUGGACGAAAGUCUGAUGGAGCAACGCCGCGUGAGUGAAGAAGGGUUUCGGCUUGUAAAGCUCUGUUGGUAGUGAAGAAAGAUAGAGGUAGUAACUGGCCUUUAUUUGACGGUAAUUACUUAGAAAGUCACGGCUAACUACGUGCCAGCAGCCGCGGUAAUACGUAGGUGGCAAGCGUUGUCCGGAUUUAUUGGGCGUAAAGCGAGUGCAGGCGGGUCAAUAAGUCUGAUGUGAAAGCCUUCGGCUCAACCGGAGGAUUUCAUCAGAAACUG